rnacentral:lncRNA from 1 species
AGUCCUUGUGAGGCUGUUUCCUUACCCUUUGAUGAGGUGUAGUCACAGCUUCAGAGGCUCCCCGCAAAGUUUUUGUCAUCAUUGACGGAACACAAGAUGUGAGAGCUGAAGAGUUAUGAACACAAAUGUGAAACCUUGCCUACUGGAGUUGCCACUAGAAAGCCCGCCAACAUGGCACUGGGACGAAUAGAAUCAAAGUCUCCCAUGCCCAAACAGAGAAAAACAAAAUAUAGCAUAUGGCCAAAGUGAUUUAUCUUUAUACUUUUUUUAAUCUUUAAAAGAUAUUUAUUGCCCUAUAAUAUACCUACAGAAAAAUGCACUGACCCUAAGCGUACAUGAGAUUCUUUCAUAAAUUUCAUGUGUACAUGUGUACUUCAAGUGUACGUGAAAUGACCUCUGUUUAUAUUCCAUCACAAUGCCUGGACAAGACUUACUUAAUGUAAGUGAAAAAAUCA